rnacentral:rRNA from 1 species
CAAUAGCGUAUAUUUAAGUUGCUGCAGUUAAAAAGCUCGUAGUCGGAUUUUGGCUGAGAACGAUCGGUCCGCCGUUAGGUGUGCACUGAUUGGUCUCAGCUUCCUGGUGAGGAGGUGUGCUUCACGGCCACUUAGUCACCGUGGUUACUUUGAAAAAAUUAGAGUGUUCAAAGCGGGCUUACGCUUGAAUAUAUUAGCAUGGAAUAACACCAUAGGACUCCUGUCCUAUUUCGUUGGUCUCGGGACGGGAGUAAUGAUUAAGAGGAACAGUUGGGGGCAUUCGUAUUUCAUUGUCAGAGGUGAAAUUCUUGGAUUUAUGAAAGACGAACUUCUGCGAAAGCAUUUGCCAAGGAUGUUCUCAUUGA